GCUGAGAGCUUUCCUCAACUGUGUGCUGAUUUCAUUAGACUUUUUCCUGACAAGAAAUCUGGAAGUCAGCACAUGCUGAGAAGAAUCUGC
ensembl:miRNA gga-mir-1705 gga-mir-1705